rnacentral:lncRNA from 1 species
CUCCACUCCGAGGAUCUUUACAGCACUGCAUCUGACGGCUGAGAAUAAAAGUGUCCUAAACACACAAGCUUGAAAAUCGCUUCACCUUACAGCCGAAACCUCCGUCUCUACGGGCAUGUGAAUGUGAGCACAUAUUUGUAUUUAUGGGGAGAAUUUAUGGGCUGUUUGCCUGUGUGCACCAAUGAUUCCAGGCUCAUCAGAGAACAUGUUGUAGAAACAGCAUGAAGAAAUUUAACAAGAAAAAAAGAAAACGGAUGGAAGAAAACUUAACCUUCGUGAGAGUCGUGUCAAUCUAUAAACUAGUAAAUGAUCACCUUUAUUACAGGUGUGCAAACCCAGGGAACAUGAGUCCUGGACUUGAGGAAUGGGGCAGAGGAAGAGAAGGGUAAAUAUGAAGAUGUAUUUCCAAUCACCCUGACCAGAAUUGCUUGAUCUUUCAGGAAUUUCUCUAAGAACAAGUAAACUAUAAACCAGAUCAGUUGUAUCUAAAGGAAGAAAUGGGGAAAGCCUAAUCCACUUGCUGCCACAAAUCAG